ACCCAGAGCGGCGCGGCCAGAGGCGCGGGCCUCGGUCCCCUGGAGCGACUUCACACAGGCGUGAGAUUUUUUCAUUCCGUUGGUAUGCUGGAACUUCUCUGCUGUACUCCUGGACUCCCACAAAGAUUUAUUUAUUUUUAUGCAAGAACUGGGGUACAGGCCAGAUGCGCGGGAGAGUGAGAGGAUUCAUCAGAGCCAGAGCCGGGAACAGAACAGGCAGAUUGACGGAUGUACACUGCUGAGGGGAGCAGCAGGCGAGACAGGAGAGGUCUGCUGCACCAUGUGGGAUUCUCACCAGCCGGCUGGGAUCGAACCCGGCACUGCAGAGGCUGCGGACAGCUUCACGGUGCGGCACUCAACUGCCUUUGCCACCAGAGAGGCCGCGCUAUGGUUUUGACUUCAAUUUCCCUACUAAUAAGUGAUGUUGGGGAGGAACUGAAAUGAGGAGUGCUUUGACCUUCGGGCAGCAGCGUGAAUGAUUCAUUGAAGAAGAAUCAGAGACGGGGACACGAGCUAUGACAUGAUUACCUGACUUUAUGAAGUUACAAAGUUGCAACUAGCUCCUCAGAUUGCUUUAUUUCAAUCUCUAAGAAAAAGAGGAAGAACUAUUGGACACACUAUUUCCCAGUUGCCACUGAGACUCUGCAUUCCAGUCUUCUGAGAGUUCUUGCAUGCCUCAGAGCUGUUGGACUUCUGACCUCCAGCCCAUAGAACGUACGACUCCAUCUCUUCGGGGUUCUCUUCUCCAUCUCUUAGCAAAAUUGCUUUACGGCCAAAUUCAUGACGAGUUGUGCGACGAAAAUGUUUUACGGCAGAGCUACUUGUAAGAAGAUGCUGAAAGAAAUUACCUAGGACAUGUUAUUUUAGCUGAUUCCUCGAACAACAUUACAAGAUAUUUUGUCAUUCUUGGAGACCUCUCUACCUCUUGCUGUCGGGGAUGCUGAAGGGGAAUUAUUUUCUGAAGAGCAGCACUAACCACACCCCUAAUCAGCGCAAAACUGAAGGACGAUCCAUUCUUCAUUUCUUACCAAAUUGUGUCAUCCUGGUUUGUUGAUUUUGAUUCUCCUCUUAAUUACUGGGACUUCAUCAAGCAAAGUUUCAAAGAAGAUGUCGUAGAUUCUCUGCUGAUUCUGUUUUUUAAUGAUUGAGGUCUCUGCUUGUCUUUAUAGGUUAGUGGCAUUUUAACUAAAUGUGAUAUUCUCAAAUGCCACUCCCUUAUUUUCUGUUGAUCUGCUGCUCAUUAUCUUACUAGACGUGAGUACAGCUAUGAAGCAGGUUGAGGCCAGUGUAUUUUUUUCCCCUAUGUAGCUGAUGUGUUUUGUCUACCUAGAUGAUGCUUGGUGCAUUCUUUCUUUUAUUCUCAAAUUAGGGAGUAUUAAUCAGGCAUAUAU